ensembl:snRNA LOC120101950 U6 spliceosomal RNA
AAGCUUCAGCAGCACAUAGACUAGAACUGGAACGAUACAGAGAAGAUUAGCAUGGGCCCUGCGCAAGGAUGACGCGCAAAUUCAUGAAACGUCCCAUAAUUUU